CCGUAGCUAAGGGGGGCGUGGCUUAGCGAAGGGUCAAAGGUCAGCAGUCCGCGUAGGUCACUCAUCGCUCACCUCGGCGCAGAGAGUAAUGGUAGCUUAAAGCUAUCUUAGCUGCUUUUAACGGAGCUCAAGUUCAUAUGGCACAAGUUUUUUUUUUUAUUAAGUUUGUCACAAAAUUUUGUCGCGAGGAAGAAGAGUUAAAAAAAAAUCUGCUGUCGUUCUCAAAGAAGCCUGCUCCCGCGCUUUUGUCCCAAAGUAGCUAGCUAACGUGGACAAACGUGGCUGCCAGUUAGCCCUAAAACAACCUGCCAGCACCCACCACCACCUGUGGUGAAGUACUGGACGCCUCCCCCCAGAAACAUAGCCUACUGUCCUAAAGGCUCUUUUAUAAACUGGCAUCAGGACAUGACUGGUGACACACUUAAUCAUUGGACCAUCAGUGCCCUGCAAUCAUCAAAGUUAUUCUAGAUGUACCUGGAGCUUCUCUCGCCACCGUCCACAAUCUAUUCAAAGUUUUUUCCAGCUUCUUUCGGGCGAGCUGGAGGCCGAGCUGCUGGGCUGCGACUGCAGAGGAGUGUUGGUCUCAUCAACAGAUGGAGAGAGAGAGGGACUGUCACACACUCUCUCCUGGAGAGAGAGAGAGAAGGAAUGAGCGCGCGGUGUACGUGAGUGUGUAUCUGCUGGGCUGCAGCGGCCAUGUUGGCGAUAGUGUUGAGGUGGUUCAUCUGUGACAUCGCCAUGGCUACAGAUGCAGGUGGCAGCCCCAUGGGCAGCAGAGGAUGGGGCAUCAU